UACAGAGGGUGCGAGCGUUGCUCCGGAAUCACUGGGCGUAAAGGGCGCGUAGGCGGCUCGGUCAGCGUGCGGUGAAAGCCCGGGGCUCAACCCCGGGUCGGCCGUGCGAACUGCUGGGCUGGAGCACUGUAGAGGCAGGUGGAAUUCCGGGUGUAGCGGUGGAAUGCGUAGAGAUCCGGAAGAACACCGGUGGCGAAGGCGGCCUGCUGGGCAGUAGCUGACGCUGAGACGCGAAAGGCGUGGGGAGCGAACAGG
rnacentral:rRNA from 1 species